UGGGAGGUAGCAUAAAAAUUGUAUAUGAUUUCGGCUCAUAAGGUGAACAGAAGUUUCCCUCCUAU
rnacentral:tRNA from 2 species